AUCACUAAGUUGCCCAAGCUGGGUUCAAACUUGCAAUCCUCCUGCUUCAGCUUCCCAGAGUGCUGGGAUUACCAGCAUGAGCCACCAUACCCAUGUAGAAGACAAGAUCUUGAAAAAGCAUUCGCAGAACCCUCUGGCAGACCCUUGUCUGGAUAUUUCAGGCAGUAUGCCAUGGAGUGCUGAGGGGCUGAGAGGAGAAAAUCUGGAGCAUAAACCUCCCAGAAACCAGCAUCUGUGGUCCAUACUGAAUACCCCACAGAGGAGGCCUUCUUAUCCUUCCCAGGUCCACUGCCCUCUCAUUCCCAUCACUUACGGUCACAAAGCAUCAAAAGCUCUCACAAAUGUCCGCUCUAAGGAUAAGAAAAGCAUUUCAGGUAAAGUGAUAAUUGGUCUCUGGUAUUCCAAACAGGCUCACGUAGAGCAGUGUCAAGACCAUAACUCUUGCAACUUUAGCCAUCACAUAAUCUGACCAUGCGCACCAGGCACGUGGUUGGAGUGCUGCUCUUGUCUUGUGAUAUGGAAAUCCACACACGUUCUUCUCCAUGUGAUCAAUGUGCAGGAAUAAGCCACAUAGGACUACAAAUCUGCUGCAGCCCUCUAGACCCUAAAAGUGGUCAGAUAAUACCCACAGUCCAUGUGCAAGAGCCCUA
rnacentral:lncRNA from 1 species